rnacentral:rRNA from 1 species
GUCUUUUAGUGAUUUAUUAAAAGUCUAACCUGCCCAUUGAUUUUAUUUUUAAAGGCUGCGGUAUUUUGACCGUACAAAGGUAGCAUAAUCAUUAGUUUUUUAAUUGAAAACCUGUAUGAAUGGUUGAAUGAGACAUAAGCUUUUUUUUAAAAAAAAAUUGAAUUUUACUUUUUAAUUAAAAGGUUAAAAUAUAAUUAAAAGACGAGAAGACCCUAUAGAGUUUAAUAUUUUUAUUAAUAUUUAUUUUUAUAAAGAUUAAUAUUUAUUGUAUUAAAAAAAAUAUUUUGUUGGGGUGAUAAUAAAAUUUAUUUAACUUUUAUAUUAUAUAAAUCCAUUAAUAUAUGAAAAAUUGAUCCAUUAUUAAUGAUUAUUAGUUUAAAUUACCUUAGGGAUAACAGCGUAAUUUUUUUUUAAGUUCUUAUUAAUAAAAAAGUUUGCGACCUCGAUGUUGGAUUAAGAUUAAUUUUAGGUGCAGAAGUUUAAAAUUUAAGUCUGUUCGACUUUUAAAUUCUU